rnacentral:rRNA from 1 species
GACGAACGCUGGCGGCGUGCCUAAUACAUGCAAGUCGAACGCAGUGGGGACGGGUGAGUAACACGUGGGUAACCUCCCAUCAGAGGGGAUAACACUUGGAAACAGGUGCUAAACCGAUAUUGGUGGAUGGACCCGCGGUGCAUUAGCUAGUUGGUGAGGUAACGGCUCACCAAGGCCACGAUGCCUAGCUGGCCUGAGAGGGUGAUCGGCCACACUGGGACUGAGACACGGUCCAGACUCCUACGGGAGGCAGCAGUGGGGAAUCUUCGGCAAUGUACGAAAGUCUGACGGAGCCACGCCGCGUGUGUGAAGAAGGUUUUCGGGUUGUAAAACUCUGUUGUUAGAGAGGCGUUACCUACCCAGAAAGCAACGGCUAACUACGUGCCAGCAGCCGCGGUAAUUC